rnacentral:rRNA from 1 species
UGAAUACGAGACGCUAAGGCGUCGAAGUAGUGUAUGUCAUACUUCCAAGAAAAGCUUGCACUGUCAUAGAUAAAAAACGCCUGUACCAUAACCGACACAGGUGGGUAGGUAGAGUAUACUAAGGGGCGCGAGAUAACUCUCUCUAAGGAACUCGGCAAAAUAACUCCGUAACUUCGGGAGAAGGAGUGCCUUAUUCGUAAGGUUGCAAUAACAAGAUCCAAGCAACUGUUUAUCAAAAACACAGGUCUCCGCUAAGUCGUAAGACGAUGUAUGGGGGCUGACGCCUGCCCAGUGCCAGAAGGUUAAAGAAGUUGGUUAGCAAUUGCGAAGCUGAUAACUGAAGCCCUGGUGAACGGCGGCCGUAACAAUAACGGUCCUAAGGUAGCGAAAUUCCUUGUCGGGUAAGUUCCGACCCGCACGAAAGGCGUAAUGAUUUGGAUACUGUCUCGGAGAGGGGCUCGGUGAAAUAGACUUGUCUGUGAAGAUGCGGACUACCUGCACCAGGACAGAAAGACCCUAUGAAGCUUUACUGUAACUUGAAAUUGAAAUUGGACUUUAUUCGCGCAGUAUAGGUGGGAGGCGUUGAUUAUAAUCUUGUGGGAUUAUUGGAGCCAUCAGUGAGAUACCACUCUUGUAAUGUUAGAUUUCUAACUUUGAAUCAUUAUCUGGUCAAAGAACAGUUUCAGGCGGGCAGUUUGACUGGGGCGGUCGCCUCCUAAACGGUAACGGAGGCGUACAAAGGUUUCCUCUGAACGGUUAGAAAUCGUAUCUAGAGUGUAAAGGCAUAAGGAAGCUUGACUGUGAGACCUACAAGUCGAGCAGGGACGAAAGUCGGUCUUAGUGAUCUGACGGUACUGAGUGGAAAGGCCGUCACUCAACGGAUAAAAGUUACUCUAAGGAUAACAGGCUGAUCUCCCCCAAGAGUUCACAUCGACGGGGAGGUUUGGCACCUCGAUGUCGGCUCAUCGCAUCCUGGGGCGGUAGUACGUCCCAAGGGUUGGGCUGUUCGCCCAUGAAAGCGGUACGCCAGCUGGGUUCAGAACGUCGUGAGACAGUUCGGUCCAUAUCCGGUGUAGGCGUUAGAAUAUUGAGAGGAGCCUUCUUUAGUACGAGAGGACCGAGAAGGACAUACCUCUGGUGUACCAGUUAUCGUGCCAACGGUAAACGCUGGGUAGCUAUGUAUGGAGUGGAUAACCGCUGAAAGCAUCUAAGUGGGAAGCCCACCUCAAGAUAAGUAUUCUCAUC